UUACUUGGGAGUCAGACUAUGGGGGAUAAGCUUCAUAGUCAAAAGGGAAAGAACCCAGACCGUCGUCUAAGGUCCCCAAGUUGGUGUUAAGUGGAAAAGGAUGUAGAAUCGCUCAGACAACCAGGAUGUUGGCUUAGAAGCAGCCAUCAUUAAGAGAGUGCGUAAUAGCUCACUGGUCCAGGGGUUCCGCGCCGAAAAUGUAACGGGGCUCAAACACCACACCGAAGACACGGAAUGCAUAGCAUUGGUAGAGGAGCGAUCCAUUGAGAACGAAGCGAGAGCGCAAGCGCUCGUGGACCCAAUGGAAGAGAGAAUGCCGGUAUAAGUACACGAUAAAAGAGGUGAGAAUCCUCUUCGCCGAAAGUCUAAGGAUUCCUGGGGAAGGCUCGUCCGCCCAGGGUAAGUCGGGACCUAAGGCAAGGCCGAAAGGCGUAGUCGAUGGGAAACAGGUAGAAAUUCCUGUACCUAUCUUAUUUAAUGACCACGCAGUGACGCAGAAGGGUACAGCGAGCGCCCAGUUGGUGAGGCGUUCAAGCGCGUAGGGCGAUGCGUAGGCAAAUCCGCGCAUCACGAGCCUGAGACGUGACGACGAGUGAAACAUAGUAACGAAGUCCUGAAUCCCCCGCUGCCAAGAAAAGCUGCUAAGGAAAAUAAGAUAGCCCGUACCGCAAACCGACACAGGUAGACAGGUAGAGAAUACUAAGGCGCGCGAGAUAACUCUUGUUAAGGAACUCGGCAAAAUGAACCCGUAACUUCGGGAAAAGGGUUGCUCCCCCGUGUGAGUAUGAACAAUACAGAGCAUAAGGGAGCCGCAGAGAAGAGGUCCAGGCGACUGUUUAGCAAAAACACAGGUCAUUGCCAAAUCGUAAGAUCACGUAUAAUGGCUGACGCCUGCCCGGUGCUGGAAGGUUAAGGGGAAGAGUGCAAGCUUUGAACCGAAGCCCCAGUAAACGGCGGCCGUAACUAUAACGGUCCUAAGGUAGCGAAAUUCCUUGUCGGGUAAGUUCCGACCCGCACGAAAGGCGUAACGAUCUGGACGCUGUCUCAACAAGGGACUCGGUGAAAUUGAA
rnacentral:rRNA from 1 species